CCUACGGGAGGCAGCAGUGGGGAAUAUUGCACAAUGGGGGAAACCCUGCUGCAGCGACGCCGCGUGAGUGAAGAAGUAUUUCGGUAUGUACAGCUCUAUCAGCAGGGAAGAAAAUGCCGGUACCUGAUUAAGUAGCCCCGGCUAACUACGUGCCAGCAGCCGCGGUAAUACGUAGGGGCCCAGCGUUAUCCGGAUUUACUGGGUGUAAAGGGAGCGUAGACGGCAGCACAAGUCUGGAGUGAAAUGCCGGGGCUUAACCCCGGAGUUGCUUUGGAAACUGUGGAGCUAGAGUGCGGGAGAGGGAGGUGGAAGUCGUAGUGUAGCGGUGAAAGGCGUAGAUAUUAGGAGGAACACCAGUGGCGAAGGCGGCUUACUGGAGUGGAACUGACGUUGAGGCUCGAAAGCGUGGGGAGCAAACAGGAUUAGAUACCCGUGUAGUC
rnacentral:rRNA from 1 species